UAAUGAUGGGCACAACUAAAUAAUUUCAACUAUCGACUUCAUUCGAUGGUUUGAAAAAAAAAUUAUCGAAUUUCAUACGAAUAAAAUUUAGUUGCAUGGCUUUUAACUACCAAAAAAGUAUUCGAUAAUUUGUAUCGAACUAUUAGAUAGUAACAAUAUUAUGUUAAUCAUAUGCCUAAAUGCUGAUUAAUUUUUAUAAAUUAUUUCUGUUUAUCCGCCUGUCUUCGGGUGUAUUUUAUAAUUUGGCACAUAACAUACCUGGGUUAUUGGAUAUCAUAGAUAAACCAAUCGAUAGUUUUAAACUAUCGUCUAGUUCAAUAAUUUUCAUUCAGUCGAGCCCAUCACUAUUUAUACCUAACUCCGGUCUAAAUGGUCUAGUAUUUGACCAUUUAAACAUUAACUUAUUGUUCACUAAAUACUUCAGAAAAGACUAAAUGAUCUAGCUAUGAUACGUAUUCACACAAGAAUCCGUAAUUAAUGACUGACGAAAUUUUAGACGAAUUAAGUAAAACAAAGCGA